GUGUGCAGUGGGAGCUAGUUGGAUAGGCAAUUUCAGUACUUUGUAAGCAUCAAGGCAGCCCAACGUCACUGAGCUCAGCUGAGUCGGCUUGUAUUUCUGAGAGAGAGAGAGAGAGAGACAGACUCUCUUUCCUCGGAUUCCAGAACUUUAACCCUGAAAGCGGCGCCCAUAAAGGAUCUUGACCAUUCCCACAGCUCCCUCCCAUCUCGCAGCUUCCCUUCCCCAGGGGUGCAAGGGAGGAGCAGGGUCCUGAGGUGUUAUCGUUGAGGGUGCUCCGGGAGGCUGCUGCUUGCGUCCCUUGGAGCCCUUCUGGCGCCUGACAACUUGGAAGUCUUUAGGGAGAGCGAGCAAGCGAGCGCAAAGCGGAGGAGGUGUGUGUUGGAGGUGGGCAGUCGCUGCUGAGGCCCCAGCGGUGGGUGAUCCUUUGGAGGCAGCGGUAGCCGCUAGUCUGGGCAAGCAGUCCCCGGCAUAAGCCCCGGAGCCAGGAUGCCCGCGCCCCCGCCUCGCCGCCGGCUUCCCUGCUAGGAGCAAGAAGGGAUGUGGUGAAUGCACCGGCUUCGCCCAGCGAGAGCAGGACCCUUCGCGGGGACAGGGCGCCGGGCACACCAUGGCCGACGCAGACGAGGGCUUUGGCCUGGCGCACACACCCCUGGAACCUGACUCAAAGGAUCUGCCCUGCGACUCCAAGCCCGAGAGCACGCUAGGGGCCCCCAGCAAAUCCCCGGCGUCCCCACAGGCUGCCUUCACCCAGCAGGGCAUGGAAGGGAUCAAGGUGUUUCUCCACGAAAGAGAGCUGUGGCUGAAAUUUCACGAAGUAGGAACGGAAAUGAUCAUAACCAAGGCUGGGAGGCGGAUGUUUCCCAGUUACAAAGUGAAGGUGACAGGCCUUAAUCCCAAAACGAAAUACAUUCUCCUCAUGGACAUUGUUCCGGCCGAUGACCACAGAUACAAGUUUGCAGAUAAUAAAUGGUCUGUGACGGGCAAAGCAGAGCCCGCCAUGCCGGGCCGUCUUUACGUGCACCCGGACUCGCCAGCCACGGGGGCGCAUUGGAUGCGGCAGCUGGUCUCCUUCCAGAAACUCAAGCUCACCAACAACCACCUGGACCCAUUCGGGCACAUUAUUCUAAAUUCCAUGCACAAAUACCAGCCCAGAUUACACAUCGUAAAGGCGGAUGAAAAUAAUGGAUUUGGCUCAAAAAAUACUGCGUUCUGCACCCACGUCUUUCCUGAGACGGCGUUUAUCGCGGUGACUUCCUACCAGAACCACAAGAUCACCCAAUUAAAGAUUGAGAAUAAUCCCUUCGCCAAAGGAUUCCGGGGUAGUGAUGACAUGGAGCUGCACAGAAUGUCAAGAAUGCAAAGUAAAGAAUAUCCUGUGGUUCCGAGGAGCACAGUAAGACAAAAAGUAGCCUCCAACCACAGUCCUUUCAGCAGUGAGCCUCGAGCUCUCUCUGCUUCAUCCAACUUGGGGUCCCAGUACCAGUGCGAGAAUGGUGUGUCCGGCCCCGCCCAGGACCUCCUGCCCCCACCCAACCCAUACCCACUGCCCCAGGAGCACGGUCAGAUUUACCAUUGCACCAAGAGGAAAGAUGAAGAAUGUUCCACCACGGACCAUCCCUACAAGAAGCCCUACAUGGAGACGUCGCCCAGUGAGGAGGACCCUUUCUACCGCUCCGGCUACCCCCAGCAGCAGGGCCUGAGCGCCUCCUACAGGACAGAGUCCGCCCAGCGGCAGGCCUGCAUGUAUGCCAGCGCCGGGCCGCCCAGCGAGCCGGUGCCCAGCCUGGAGGACAUCAGCUGUAACACGUGGCCCAGCAUGCCUUCCUACAGCAGCUGCACGGUCACCACGGUGCAGCCCAUGGACAGGCUCCCCUACCAGCACUUCUCGGCCCACUUCACCUCGGGGCCCCUGGUGCCCCGGCUGGCUGGCAUGGCCAACCACGGCUCCCCGCAGCUCGGAGAGGGAAUGUUCCAGCACCAGACCUCCGUGGCCCACCAGCCUGUGGUCAGGCAGUGUGGGCCUCAGACUGGCCUGCAGUCCCCCGGCGGCCUGCAACCGUCCGAGUUCCUCUAUUCUCACGGCGUGCCACGGACCCUGUCCCCGCACCAGUAUCACUCGGUGCACGGCGUUGGCAUGGUGCCAGAGUGGAGUGAGAACAGCUAAAGUGAGGCCUGCUUCCUCACAGACAGUUGCUAGAGAGAGAGAGAGAGAGCGAGAGAGAGAGAGCGGGAGAGAGACAGUAGCAGAGAGAACCCCACGGACGGCAUUUUUCAUUUCAGUGCUCACGUCUGCACUCCAGAGCCCCGGGCGCUGAUCUAAUCGGCUGCUUGAAACCACAAUUCAAAAAAUGUGACUUUGUUGUUCCGUCUCAAAACCAACCAAAAAAAGAGGAGCCCCCACCCACCACGACCACCAUACUCGUCGGCCGGCCAUGUUCACACCACCUCCAGAUGUCCUCGGUGAUUCCUUCUUUUGGUCUCCAGAAAGCCUUGCCUUACCGAGUGUUUUAGCCGAAUGGCGUAGAUGGAGUCUUCCCUGUCUUGGUGUUAAUGUUGACAUUGUUAUAUAAUAAAUAAUAAUAUAUUUUUUUUCUUUCAAUUUUCUUAAUGGGACCCAGUCCCUUAUUUUGGGGGAGGUCUGAGGCAAGUGUGUUUCAAAAUAUGUACUGGUGGGGUUCCACCCCAGAUAUAUCACCCCUGAAACCUAAAUUUGCCACCCUGCCCUUGACUAAGAAAUGACCUACCUCUGCCAUGUGAUGUUCCUGAAAAGGUUCCCUAGGUCCCAACUUUUGUCUGAUUUUUCCUCUCUUGCCCAUCAUCACGGAGCCCAGUGUGGCCUUCUCCUUAUAACGUUGGCCUCCAUCUGGCCUCCUAUCUCCUUCUGCCCUCCCAUCUUCCGAGCUCUGUGUCUUUCCAGCCGUCUGUCGCUAAAACGUGGCCUAUGGCUUCCCGACCGGAAAGCUUGCUUUGAAAAACUUGAAAAGCCCUGGUUUACAUGUGGGCAGAACUGUGAUAAAGCAAGGAGCAAGCUCUGUGCUGACAAGCGUUGCAAAAAGGCCAAAGUAAAUAUUGGUCCUGAUAAAACACAAAGCCAGCCCCAAGCUUCCAAACCUCCAUCACCGACGACCCGCCCCGGAUGCCAAGCAGAACCCACUGUUCCUACAGAAGGGGCCAGACGUGCUCGCCGAUUGGUUCUCCCCAAAGAAAUCACACCGACACCAGAUGCCGAUUCAAAACUGCAGUUAUUGAAAGCAGAAAACGGUAUAAAAAAAAAUAAGCGUGCCCGUGACUUGUUUGCUUUAUAACUGGAAGGUUGUACCACUUAAUCCCCUUUCCCUAUGUCUGGAGACAUUUUUGGUUGUCGUGAUGUCCGUGUGGGAUGCUCCUUACCAUCGUAUAGUGCCCAGGACGGCCCU